CCUACGGGAGGCAGCAGUGGGGAAUAUUGCGCAAUGGGCGAAAGCCUGACGCAGCGACGCCGCGUGAGGGAUGAAGGUCUUCGGAUCGUAAACCUCUGUCAGCAGGGAAGAACGGUCACUGUGCUAAUCAGCAGUGAAUUGACGGUACCUGCACAGGAAGCACCGGCUAACUCCGUGCCAGUAGCCGCGGUAAUACGGAGGGUGCGAGCGUUAAUCGGAAUUACUGGGCGUAAAGCGCUCGUAGGCGGUAUGUCAAGUCAAGGGUGAAAUCCCCGCGCUCAACGUGGGAACUGCCUUGGAAACUGGCAGACUGGAGUGUGUGAGAGGAUAGUGGAAUUCCAGGUGUAGGAGUGAAAUCCGUAGAUAUCUGGAGGAACAUCAGUGGCGAAGGCGACUAUCUGGCACAUAACUGACGCUGAGGAGCGAAAGCGUGGGUAGCAAACAGGAUUAGAUACCCUGGUAGUC
rnacentral:rRNA from 1 species